rnacentral:rRNA from 1 species
AUGGCCGGUGCAGGAGGACAAUUUUAUAUUAUCAUCAGUGCCAUGGCGCAGCUCCUGGUAGCCAUCAUGGCGCAACGGUCCGGCACGUUUAUCAACAAGCAGACCUCGCCGAGUCCAGCAGCAGCAAUAUCGAGGACGAUUUCCGUUAAUCACAGCGGGCGUGGUGACUUCAAGCAUAUUCAACAAGCAAUAGAUUCCAUUCCGGAUGGUAAUUCUGAGUGGAUCCGUAUCCACGUUGCAGCGGGGACGUACAGGGAGAAGGUGCACAUAAAAUCAAACAAGCCGUUUAUAGUUCUAGAAGGGGAGGGCCGAGAUCGGACGGCCAUGGAAUGGCCGGAUCACUAUUAUCGGAGUUUCAACAGAGUGCCUACUUUCGAAUCAGCGACGUUUCGGUGCGACGCCUCCGAUUUCCAGGCACGGAAUAUAACGUUCAAGAACACUUAUACAAUUGAUAACAACACGGUGCCAGCCGUGGCUGCUCAAGUGUCAGGAGAUCGCUCCGCGUUCUACAACUGUGGAUUCGUGGGGGUCCAGGACACGCUGAAUGACCAGCAAGGUCGCCAUUACUACGAGAAUUGCUACGUCUCCAGUGAUGGAUGGCUAGGGGCGCAGCCGCACUAG